rnacentral:tRNA from 1 species
GCGCCCGUAGCUCAGCCGGAUAGAGCACCAGAUUCCUAAUCUGGGGGUCGUGGGUUCGAGUCCCGCCGGGCGCGCCA